GGGCAUACAAGCGAGGUGAAUUGCCACGCGUGGAGGGUUUGUAGGUGCCACGUGUCGCUCUCGUGAGACGGCCAAGUGUGAACCCAAAAAUUUUCGGUAGGACUCGCGAUUCCCGAUUUUUUCGUGGAACCGGCUCGGUAUAAAUCAAACAUAUCUAUGAACACCUUCGAAGUACGGCAUACCCUAAAAAAUAGUAUAAAUCAAGCAUAUCUACG
rnacentral:lncRNA from 1 species